rnacentral:rRNA from 1 species
GAUGAACGCUGGCGGCGUGCCUAAUACAUGCAAGUCGAGCGAACAGAUGAGGAGCUUGCUCCUCUGACGUUAGCGGCGGACGGGUGAGUAACACGUGGAUAACCUACCUAUAAGACUGGGAUAACUUCGGGAAACCGGAGCUAAUACCGGAUAAUAUAUUGAACCGCAUGGUUCAAUAGUGAAAGACGGUUUUGCUGUCACUUAUAGAUGGAUCCGCGCCGCAUUAGCUAGUUGGUAAGGUAACGGCUUACCAAGGCAACGAUGCGUAGCCGACCUGAGAGGGUGAUCGGCCACACGGGAACUGAGACACGGUCCAGACUCCUACGGGAGGCAGCAGUAGGGAAUCUUCCGCAAUGGGCGAAAGCCUGACGGAGCAACGCCGCGUGAGUGAUGAAGGUCUUCGGAUCGUAAAACGCUGUUAUUAGGGAAGAACAAAUGUGUAAGUAACUAUGCACGUCUUGACGGUACCUAAUCAGAAAGCCACGGCUAACUACGUG